UACGUAGGGACCAAGCGUUGUUCGGAUUUACUGGGCGUAAAGGGCGCGCAGGCGGCAAUUCAAGUCAGCUGUGAAAUCUCCGGGCUUAACUCGGAACGGUCAGCUGAUACUGCUUUGCUAGAGUGCAGAAGGGGCAAUCGGAAUUCUUGGUGUAGCGGUGAAAUGCGUAGAUAUCAAGAGGAACACCUGAGGUGAAGACGGGUUGCUGGGCUGACACUGACGCUGAGGCGCGAAAGCUAGGGUAGCAAACGGG
rnacentral:rRNA from 1 species